GGUAGGAAGCCCUCCCUCUCUCUUCCUAGAACAUAAGCCGGGAUCUUUUAUUUCCUGAACAACUGCUCCAUGCCUCCCCCAAGAAAAGAUGCGGGCUCAGUGGAAGCAUCUCAGAUGCUGAAUUCAAGAUGUGGGCCACCAGCUGGCCCUGAGCAAGUUUGUUAUAUGGGAGAGAGUUUCAUUUUCUUGAUAAAAGUCCUUCCACAGAUGUGAAAAGGACUGGGGGCGGGGGCAAGGGAAAUAAAGGAAGGACCAAAUCCUCUCUCAGCAGAAGACAACAGCUAAACUUCCACUCAGUCACUCAGCUGCAGAAGGCAUCAACAAAUCCUACGUGUCUCCACAAAUCCAGAAGAUGAAAUGCUUGUGCUGCUAUAGGAUGCUCCUCUGGAUGGCAGUUCUCUGGGACAGUCAGCAGCAUCUUAUGAUAGAAGACAGAUAUUCCCUGAAAGAGAGACCAGAAAAUAACCGUUUUCUCCUCCUUCCCUUCCUCUCUGCAGGGUUACACCACAUACAAGGAUCUGGUCAUUGUUAUGAAAGGGAUUCUGGAAGUCCCAGCACGCUGUAAUCAGGUGCGAGUUUAAUUGGUAGAGGAACAGCUCACUGGCUUCACAGGUGAGCAGAAGUCAUCAUCCAUGAGCAAACUAAGAGCACGCUCACUGCCUCUGUCAACCACGAAAGAAUAACUCCAGUACCAUUUGUUCCUGGAGCAAAACCAAACACUGCCAAGAGGUGCCAAAGACUGGACCCGUGAGCUCGGUCUGCUGUUAGUACCACUACGCUCAGACAGAAGAUUGCAUACAAGCAGGGUGACGGAAAGGAGAUGUUACACCUCCCAUUUCCCAGACAGAGGAUGGAGAGGCUGUCAAAGAAGCUAUCUGCUGCUACUUGCAGUGAACGCAGCUGCUUUUAGUAGCCAGACUAAAUGCAGAAUGGCACUGUGCCACGGAUGUCCCCUAAAUGACUUUCUCAGGCAGGGACAGAAAAUGAAUCCAGUCAGACGGUCGCCAAAGCCACGGCCUUAACCACAGUUCCCUUUCCGCUGCCUGCUUCUCCCCCAGCCCACUCUCCACAUCCAUGGAGGCAGCUCACACAGGGCGAGGGGAAAAAGGGCUUGGCCGAAUGGCCGUCCUGUGGGAUUCCUUCUGCUUUCCUCACAUUUGGGUCACUGGAGCGCUCAAAAUUCAGCUUUUAACAAAUUUAUCACCUUCAAUCAUUCUCUAUUAGACCUAGUAGCAUUCCUCUAAACUACUGAAAGUCAUUUUACACUGAUUCCUUUGUACUGCACAGUGUGAAAUAACAGAUAUUAUAUGUAACUUGCAAUUGAAGAUUUUGCAAUUGAAGUCACAGCCCCAGAAGCCAAUUAAAAAAUAACACAUUCCGUGAUUUCUUUUGACUAUGAAGAGGGACUGGUUCUGCCAUUUUACUCACUAGAGGUUACAUAUACAUCUCUGUACAUACAGGAGUUACUUAUGGAAAUUACAGCAGCAGAUUGGAGUGAUAAGCAUUGUAAUUUCAGCAAUAGAGCACUGCUGUCACUUUCUGAACUCUGGAUGAAAAAUACCAAAGAACCUAUUUGUGCCCUACUAUGAAGUAAUGAAUAUAUACAAUUUCACAUCUCACAACUAGAAUAGUGCCUGUCAGAAGAUACACUUUGAUUUUUGUUAAGUGCAAAAUUCACAUUUUUGUUUCUGUGCCUUUUUCAGGCAUACAGAACAACAGGGUCCGCAUGUUGUUCUGAGAGAAUCAUGCAAAAAGAAAAUAUUUGUGUCUUCAGGGAAGAGGAAGGAAAAUUUCCUCUUUAUUAUUCCAGGUCUGAUCUCUUAGGUCAUGUAAAACAGACCAGAGCUACCUCUCUAUCUCCUCCUUGUCUUCUCUUGAUAGUUUGCAUUUGCAUGGGACAGGGAAAUAAACACAGUCGUUUCUAAUUUUUCUGCUGCUUAGAUAAGCCUUGAAGUGGCAGUAGGCAUUUGAAGUUCCUUUUUAUCUGACUAAACGGCAGUAAAGGGAAAUCAACAGACAUGGGGCCAAAGUAGGCGUUUGCUCUGGGUCUUUGCAGUCCAUGCUGCUGCAGUGUAAUGGCUGCCAGCCUGUUUCUUUAGAAUGACCACCUCUUGGGCAUCAUUGCUGCAGUACCUUGGAGACUUUUGGCAACCGGGGCAUGUGAGAAUAGCUGACAUGGACACGGUUACUGAAGCUGCUCUCUUUGUUCCUUCUCUCCCACCUUUCCCCUAAGCGCUCUUAGCACAGAAAGUCCUUUGUAUUAAGCUAAGACCUCACAUUAAUUAAAUUUCAAACAACUAGACAAAUACAAUAUUUCAAUUCCACAAUUAAAAAGAAAAACGUUUAUCAUGAACCGACAAUCAUCAGCUAAAUGCUUUGGUUCCUAGGGGAAAACUCACUUAAAUAUAUUGCACUUGACCAGCAUUUCUCUUUCUCUACACUUUAAUGUGUUGGUCAUAAAACAUCCACUAGAGAGGAUACAGGUGCUAUAGAUGAUUGCAUGUAUAGACAGGAAUAGGCAGGAGCCUGAAAGUUCUAUUUAUUGGCUUGGCUGUUUAUCCUUUAGGCUAAGGUUGUAUGCAUUAACCUAACCACUUCCCAGAUUUAUUUUAAAAGGAUAAAUAAAACACAUGCCUAGCAAUGCUAGAAUUUAAAUGAUUCCAGGUGUGGUGCUCAGUGAUCUUUCAGUCAGGCCCUGUAAGAAAUUUGAUUUACUCUGUUUCUGAGAGGCAUGAUGACUUGCCUGAGCUACCCAUGCAGGGAAAUGCCUCUCUGAUGGCACGUCCCAGUGUCCUCUAAAAUGAAGGAGGCCUGCAUGGCUGGCAGCAGAGCAGCUGCCUCCACGUGACACUAGUGCCCCAUGUGCUCAGCCUACUGUACCUCGGUCAACACAGCACGGCCAGGAGCAUCUCUGCAGCAGAAGGGGAGCCAGUGGGACCGGGGUUGACAAAGACACAGCAAGGGAGACAGACAGACCUAUUUGCUUUCCCUCAACAGCCCUCAUAAGCUGCUCAGCUGUAUAACAGUGAUGGCUUAGCACCAGUGACCACACUGAGGGCCAAGGACAAUAGAAACACAUUGUUGAUUGCUCUGUUGAGCUAUCUAUCUGCAGUACAAAGAUAUGUGCUUUCUAAGUACAAAGGUUAGAAAGUAAGAGAAAGAAAAAGGAUCAAGAAAAGGGAUCCAUACCUGAAGGCAGUGGGAUUUACAGCUCAUAUUGACAGAGCUUUUAAUGGAUAAUUCAUUAAUCUGUUUAAUUUACACUUGUACUAGACAUUUAGAGGUCAUUUAACACCUCACUACAUUAUACUGUAUACAAGA